rnacentral:rRNA from 1 species
AAAUUUAAAUAAUAAACUAGGAUUAGAUACCCUAUUAUUUUAAAUGUUAAUUAUAUUUACCAGGGUACUAUUAGUUAAGGUCUUUAAACCCAAAGAAUUUGGCGGUAUCUCAUUCCAUUCAGAGGAACCUACCCCGUGAUUGAUAAUACACGAUUUACUCUACUUAAUUUAUUUGUUUGUAUAUCUCCGUUAUCAGAGAAUCUUUUUAGAGUUAUAAUUCUCAAGAUUUAUAAUUAUAAAAUAUUUCAGGUCAAGGUGCAGCUUAUAGUUAAGAGGAGGUGGGUUACAAUAGGUUUUUGUUUAUAACGGAUUUGAUGGUGAAAUACURUUAAUGAAGGUGGAUUUGAUAGUAAUUUAAUUUAUUUAAUUUAACUGAUAYUGGCUCUGAGGUGUGUACACAUCGCCCGUCGCUCUCAUUAUUGAUUAUUCUAUUUUAUUAUUUUAAGGUAGCUUCAAUUAUAGAUGAGAUAAGUCGUAACAUAGUAGAUGUACUGGAAAGUGUAUCUAGUAAGAGUUU